UUGUCUUUGUUAUUGGGCUAAUUGCCCAUUUUGUUUUAGUUGUCAUACAACUUAAACAUAAUGGGCUUUGUGGGCCAAAACACUUUUGGGCCCCGAAACCCAAAACCAACUUAAAAGCCCAAUACGAACCUUUCGUAAAAUUAAUUAACUAAUUAAUUAAUCUUGAUCAUUUUUCAAUUAAACCAUUUAAUUGCAUAUCCAUUUUAUUUAUAUUUCUUCACUUUCAUCCUUACUCGGUGUACGAUCCAUUAGGUUCCAAUUAGCAAGGCAGGGGGCGAUUGUUACUCUUAACGAUCGAUUAUGAAUUGAAACUACAUUUCAAUUCUCCCUUUGAUUAAGAUUAGUUUUUGCUAAUCUUCAGGGCUUCCACAAACCAUGAGUGACACCUAGCAGCAUGUCAUGGUUACCAAAACUAAGUAGAAGUGGUUGGAGAACCUAUCCAGUUACAACUACAACGCAAUACGGUCUUUCUCUAAUACAAUACUCUUAAUCACAUUGUUUGAGUGAUAGUUUGUUUCAUGUCUACUAUCCAAUGUAAUACUUCUCUAUAUGAUUCAAUUGAAUAUGAUUUGGAACAAACUUCUUAAGUCAUAUUCAUAUGCUUUGGCCAAAGACUCCCGAAUCAUAUCUUAGAGUAUUCUCCUUCCACCAUGGAAGGUUAGAGAUCCCUUGUUGUGCAUUCAUAUGCCUACAUGAUUAGAUAGCUUGACCCCAACAAUGCCGUGGACAUUCUCGAUGGAAUGCCUUUGACAUGAUCAAAGAUCAAGGACCUAACCAUUAGACAUCUAUGAUGCCUCAGGUAAAAGGACUAAUUUGCAUAUUGCAACUAACGAGUUCUUACAUGACAUGUAUGUUCGAACUCUCUUUUGAUCGUUGUUCAGUGUACUCGAUUACUCUUUCAAGCACCUAUGUGUUUGUCUUAGUGUCCAACACUAAAUGACUUGAGACUAGUCAUACUCACACUUGAGUUGACAUAACACAUACUAACCUUAGCGGAUUCUCAAUGCCCAAUUGGCAAUCCUAUGGCUAGGAAUGUUUUAGGAAUGAACAUAAGAGAAAGGUCUCGUUAAUCUAACUUAUUUAAAUCACUUCUCUCUUAGAUCAAAUACAUUCCUUGGAUUCCCUUAUUGCUUAAACACAUGAUACAAUAAAUAGUGAUUAACAAUAAGGUUUGCCCUUCAUUAAACAUAUAAUAGUUUAAUACAUUAAGUAUUCCAAAAGCUAUUAAAUCAAAUAAGUGGCUUUGUGGGCAUA
rnacentral:lncRNA from 1 species